ensembl:lncRNA
GUCCUUGACUUUCUUUCUUUCUUUCCUUCUUUCUUUCUUUUCUUUUUUUUUUUUUUUUUUGAGACAGAGUCUCACUGUUGUCCAGGUUGGAGUGGCAUAAUCACGGCUCACUGCAGUCUUGACCUUCCCAGGCUCUGAUGAUCCUCCCAUCUCAGCCUCCCAAGUAGCCGGGACUACAGGCACUCAUCACCAUGCCCAGCCACUUUUUGUAUUUUUUGUAGAGAUGGGGUUUCGCCAUGUUGCCCAGGCUGAUCUUGAACCCCUGUGCUCAAGUGAUCCGUUCGUCUCAGCCUCCCAAAAGUGCUGGGAUUACAGGCUUGAGCCACCGCGCCCGGCCUUGUCCUUCACAUUCUUAAAGUCAUCCUUGCUCUCUGGCAACAACAGAACAUUCAAGUCCUGUCCUGAUUCUUUCCUUCUCUGAGACAUGGAAUCUGUUGUCAUCUAAGCCUUGCAUUCUAAGGGGUCCCAGUUUCUAUAAAUGAAGAACAGUAUUUGAAACCAAAGGUUAGGUCCUGGAGGUCCACAUGACAGUUAGUGACAAAACUACUACCUCCUCUGUUGGCCACUUUUUUGUUUGUUUGUUUGUUUGAGACAGAGUCUCGCUGUGUUGCCAGGCUGGAGUGCAGUGGUGCCAUCUCGGCUUAUUGCAACCUCAACCUCCCAGGCUCAAGCAAUCCUCCCACCUCAGCCUCCCAAGUAGCUGGGCCUACAAGUGCACCACCAUGCCUGGCUAAUUUUUGUUUUCGUUUUUAAUAGAGACAGGUUUUCUUCAUGUUGCCCAGGCUGGUCUCAAACUCCUGGACUGAAGCCAUCUGCCCAUCUCAACUUCCCAAAAUGCUGGGAUUACAAGUGUGAUCCACUGCGCCUGGCCGAUAGUUGGCGACUUUUAAGAUAGACGUUAAUGUCAAAUUUGCUAACUUAACAUGCUAUUUGUUGUAUCCUGCUUGUAUUAGAGACAGUAGGGUAGCACUCAUCAUGAAAACUUUCCACAUCACUGAGAGACAAUGAGGGGACCAUACUCAGGUUUAUGCAGGAAUGAAGUGAAGGAACAUGUGGAAGUUACAGUCAGUGUGGGGAAGUCUGGAGAGUGUGAAUUAGGCCACACUCCAGGUAAGGUGAGGUCAGCUGGGAAACCAGUCCACUGUAGAGAUUUUGAAGUCAUAGUUUGAGAUAAGGUGAAGUGCUCAGUGGUUUUUCCACCUGUUAUUUUCACCUAGCAAAGACCUGUUUGAGCUACAGUCAUUCAGGAUGUGACCAUGUUGGUCCCCCAUCCCCAAAAGAUACGCUGAAGUCUUAAUCUCUGGCACCUCAGAAUGUGAUCUGAUUUGGAAAUAGGGUCUUUAUAGAGGUAAUCAAGUUAAAAUGAGGUCAUUAGGGUGAGCCUUAAUCCAGUAGAAUCUGUGUCUUUAUUUAAAAAGCAACUAGCCGGGCAUGGUGGUGCAUGCCUGUAGUCCCAGCUACUCAAGAGGCUGAGAUGGGAGAACUGCUUGAGCCCAGGAGUUCGAGGAUGGAGUGAGCUAUGAUCAUGCCACUGACUGCACUCCAGCCUGGGUAACAGAGCAAGAUCUCACCUCUAGAAAGAAAAAAAAAAAAAAA